rnacentral:tmRNA from 1 species
GGGGGCGCUAAGGUUUCGACGGGUAUGAUGAAGUGAAAGUUGCAUGCAGAGGUCCCGGUUGGCCUCUUAAAAAAACCGGAAAAACCAAUAAGUGCAGAAGAUUAUUCUUAUGCAAUGGCUGCCUAGUAAUAGGCUGGCCACGAUCUGAGUGUUCCUGUCUGGGGGGCACAAAAGAUCGCCAUAUAAUUCAGACUGGGUCAAUGUGAUGUUUAGGCGCGGCGACCGAGAACUUACUAAACUAGCGACCUGUUAAGCUGGCUUUCAGAGCGGAACAGUGGGCGAAUCUUAAAACGGAAGAAAAGCAUGUAGGAGCGAUUAUGGAGUUACAUUCGGACGCGGGUUCGAUUCCCGCCGCCUCCACCA